rnacentral:rRNA from 1 species
AUGGACAAAUCCUCUUCAGAUUUUGAGUUUUUUAGGGGUGAUUACAAAGGGCAGAAAAUAUCAUACAAGGCUUGGUGUAGGGGUGAAGAUGAGGCUGCCACAGGGACAAGCCAUAAGCCUAGGGAGAGGAAGAACCUGCAGAGCACUAUUGUGGAGCAAACUCAGAACCAUCUGAGUUUUGGGAGGAAGACCAAAUCCUUUCUGAACAUGAAGAACCCUCAGUUGUACCAGAGAAAGGAGCAAAGAAGCUUAAUCCUGUCAGAAAACCAGGCCCAACUAGUAAGUCACACAGUGAGCCUGAACACAUCAAGUUUGAAGAUUUUGUGCCUGGACCUGAUGAAUACUGCUUUCCAGGUGAUUUUGGCCUUAGUGAUGAAGAAGAAGUUCCAAGGUUGCCUUCUGGUAGGAAGAGAAGGUUGA